rnacentral:lncRNA from 1 species
CUGGUUCAGUACAAACUACUUUUUACUUUUUGUUAUUCAUUCAUUGCAGCGUUUAUAUAUUAUGAUAUCAUUACAUCUGUUUUUUUCUGUAGCAUCAAAAAAAAGUCUUGCUGACCCUGAAGAGGCUUUCCGGAUAUUUAGGGCUUGGCUGCCCUUCCUUAGUGGAUGGAUGAGCCGGUGGUCAUCAUCAACCAUUCUGGAGGCUACGUUUAGCCUUAAAACUGAAGGAGGCUUCCUGCCAGCUCUUAGACAGGAUAUGAUUUAGGAAGGAGAGAGAGAAGUCAGAUUCUUCUGCAGUCCACACGUACAUUAUUUAAAACCCUUGAGACAGAAUAGAAAGAAACAGGCAUAACCAAAAUAUGUCUAAGUGCUAGUUCUCAAAUUGCUAAGUCUUUACAUGGUAAAACUGAUUAUAUGCCAUGUUUUUGCUACCUUGAUAUAUUCUAUACUUUGUUCCAUUAGUAGAGCAGAUCAAAAGAAGGGUACAGAAAUCACUGAUGAUUUGACAACCAGGAAGAAGCACGAUUCUCUCAAACAUUUGAUGUAUCAAUUGAAGGCAUGAAAAUCUUUGAACUCUGAUGACAUCUGUCAUAAUUUGUGCCUUAUUGAUUAUUGAAAGAAAAAAAGAAAAAAUUAAUGCCAGAAGACAAUUACUGAUGGGCUUUUACCUGGGUCAAGUAUCCUUGUGAACUGUGUACAUGUGACUGUACAAGUGAAUGCUGAUGCAUAUUUGGGCAGACAAGAGCACAUUCUUUAAGCAAAAUUCUGUGUAGCUCAGAAAAUGAAUGAUAAAUGAAUAUAAAUAAAGACAUUAUCAUGGGCC